UGGAUCGAUGAUGAGAGGUGGUGGUGUAUGAGUCAAGGACGAUGAAUAUACAUGGCUGGAACUCUGAGGUCCAA